rnacentral:tRNA from 1 species
GGCCUCAUAGCUCAGCUGGUAGAGCAUGCGCGUACACGGCGUAGGCGGCGUCCAUGCAUGGGUUCGAAUCCCACCGAGGCUA